AGGAUGAACGCUGGCGGCGUGCCUAACACAUGCAAGUCGAGCGAUUUACUUCGGUAAAGAGCGGCGGACGGGUGAGUAACGCGUGGGUAACCUGCCUCAUACACAUGGAUAACAUACCGAAAGGUAUGCUAAUACAGGAUAAUAUAAGAGAUUCACAUGGAUUUUUUAUCAAAGCUCCGGCGGUAUGAGAUGGACCCGCGUCUGAUUAGCUAGUUGGUAAGGUAAUGGCUUACCAAGGCGACGAUCAGUAGCCGACCUGAGAGGGUGAUCGGCCACAUUGGAACUGAGACACGGUCCAAACUCCUACGGGAGGCAGCAGUGGGGAAUAUUGCACAAUGGGCGAAAGCCUGAUGCAGCAACGCCGCGUGAGUGAUGAAGGCCUUCGGGUCGUAAAACUCUGCCCUCAAGGAAGAUAAUGACGGUACUUGAGGAGGAAGCCCCGGCUAACUACGUGCCAGCAGCCGCGGUAAUACGUAGGGGGCUAGCGUUAUCCGGAUUUACUGGGCGUAAAGGGUGCGUAGGUGGUUUUUUAAGUCAGGAGUGAAAGGCUACGGCUCAACCGUAGUAAGCUCUUGAAACUGGAAAACUUGAGUGCAGGAGAGGAAAGUGGAAUUCCUAGUGUAGCGGUGAAAUGCGUAGAUAUUAGGAGGAACACCAGUAGCGAAGGCGGCUUUCUGGACUGUAACUGACACUGAGGCACGAAAGCGUGGGGAGCAAACAGGAUUAGAUACCCUGGUAGUCCACGCCGUAAACGAUGAGUACUAGGUGUCGGGGGUUACCCCCCUCGGUGCCGCAGCUAACGCAUUAAGUACUCCGCCUGGGGAGUACGCUCGCAAGAGUGAAA
rnacentral:rRNA from 1 species